rnacentral:rRNA from 1 species
UGGGGAAUUUUGGACAAUGGGCGAAAGCCUGAUCCAGCCAUGCCGCGUGCUGGAAGAAGGCCUUCGGGUUGUAAACCGCUUUUGUCAGGGAAGAAACGCUCCGGGCUAAUAUCCUGGGGUAAUGACGGUACCUGAAGAAUAAGCACCGGCUCACUACGUGCCAGCAGCCGCGGUAAUACGUAGGGUGCAAGCGUUAAUCGGAAUUACUGGGCGUAAAGAGUGCGCAGGCGGUUAUGCAAGACAGAUGUGAAAUCCCCGGGCUCAACCUGGGAACUGCAUUUGUGACUGCAUGGCUAGAGUGCGGCAGAGGGGGAUGGAAUUCCGCGUGUAGCAGUGAAAUGCGUAGAUAUGCGGAGGAACACCGAUGGCGAAGGCAAUCCCCUGGGCCUGCACUGACGCUCAUGCACGAAAGCGUGGGGAGCAAAC